rnacentral:rRNA from 1 species
CCUACGGGGGGCAGCAGUGGGGAAUCUUGGGCAAUGGGCGCAAGCCUGACCCAGCAACGCCGCGUGAAGGAAGAAGGCUUUCGGGUUGUAAACUUCUUUUGUCAGGGAAGAGUAGAAGACGGUACCUGACGAAUACGCUACGGCUAACUACGUGCCAGCAGCCGCGGUAAUACGUAGGUGGCCAGCGUUGUCCGGAUUUACGGGGGGUAAAGGGCGUGUAGCCGGGUUGACAAGUCCGAUGUGAAAUCCUUCGGCUUAACCGCAGUACUGCAUUUGAAACUGUUGAUCUUGAGUACUGGAGAGGCAGACGGAAUUCCUAGUGUAGCGGUGAAAUGCGUAGAUAUUAGGAGGAACACCAGUGGCGAAGGCGGUCUGCUGGACAGCAACUGACGGUGAGGCGCGAAAGCGUGGGGAGCAAACAGGAUUAGAUACCCCAGUAGUC